ACUAAGAUAGUGAAGUUAGCUCAAUCAGUGUCAGUCAAGUCUGAGCAAGAAGCACUUAGAGCAAGCGAUGGAUCCGCUGUCGUUGUUGCAAUAGAAGUCUUUGUAGCAGUGGAAGAAAUAGGAGUUCGGGAUCGGUAAUCUUUCCUGUUGAUGCCGUAAAGGAUGUUAGACUUUACUUAGUAGGCGGACCACAUUCAAUGAUGAAAUUGAUUGAUUCAAAGCCAAGCUCGAAGGAAGAACGGGAUUAUCCCGAAAGAAUAAAACCUGACAGGGCAGGAUCGGACGAUGCGCGGUACCCGUUUAGAAAGGAAUUUGAUUCAACGUCAAAAGAAUAUCAUUUAUAUAGACAUUUAUAUAGAAUAGAAUAUGGAAUUCGCAUUCUUGAUGACAAGGAAAGAAAAGUUCAAUAAUAGUAAGGGUAGGAUGGUCUCAAUGAGCUCCUAGAUUUAGCCAAAAGAGCCCCGCCCCAAUAGGCUUUAUCUUGAAUCCCGGGAGUCCAAAGUAUGUUAGAUAGAGGGACGGUACAUAGGGAAAUACUUCUGCGAAUGAUGCAGCUGCUCUAUACGCUGCUUUUGGAGUGGAUGCAGUAAAGGUGUCUCGGGGUACGGCUGGCCGUUGAAAAGGAAAGCGAGUCAAGG
rnacentral:lncRNA from 1 species